rnacentral:rRNA from 1 species
CGGAGGCAGCAGUGGGGAAUAUUGGUCAAUGGGCGAAAGCCUGAACCAGCAACGCCGCGUGCACGAUGAAGGUCUUCGGAUCGUAAAGUGCCUUUCUGAGAGAUGAGAAAGGACAGUAUCUCAGGAAUAAGUCUCGGCUAACUACGUGCCAGCAGCCGCGGUAAAGCGUAGGAGGCAAGCGUUAUCCGGAUUUACUGGGCGUAAAGCGCGUGCAGGUGGUUCGGUAAGUUGGAUGUGAAAGCUCCUGGCUCAACUGGGAGAGGUCGUUCAAUACUACCGGACUUGAGAGCAGUAGAGGGAUGUGGAAUUCCCGGUGUAGUGGUGAAAUGCGUAGAUAUCAGGAGGAACACCGGCGGUGUAGACGGCUCUCUGGACCGUAACUGACGCUGAGACACGAAAGCGUGGGAGCAAACAGGAUUAGAUACCCCGGUAGUCG